GACGAACGCUGGCGGCGUGCCUAAUACAUGCCAGUUGAGCGCUGAAGGUUGGUACUUGUACCAACUGGAUGAGCAGCGAACGGGUGAGUAACGCGUGGGGAAUCUGCCUUUGAGCGGGGGACAACAUUUGGAAACGAAUGCUAAUACCGCAUAAAAACUUUAAACACAAGUUUUAAGUUUGAAAGAUGCAAUUGCAUCACUCAAAGAUGAUCCCGCGUUGUAUUAGCUAGUUGGUGAGGUAAAGGCUCACCAAGGCGAUGAUACAUAGCCGACCUGAGAGGGUGAUUGGCCACAUUGGGACUGAGACACGGCCCAAACUCCUACGGGAGGCAGCAGUAGGGAAUCUUCGGCAAUGGACGAAAGUCUGACCGAGCAACGCCGCGUGAGUGAAGAAGGUUUUCGGAUCGUAAAACUCUGUUGGUAGAGAAGAACGUUGGUGAGAGUGGAAAGCUCAUCAAGUGACGGUAACUACACAGAAAGGGACGGCUAACUACGUG
rnacentral:rRNA from 1 species